rnacentral:misc_RNA from 1 species
UCCGAGUUUAUCUCGGCAGUCUCAUUAGACACUUGUAACUAACGACGGGGGCCCGCACAAGCGGUGGAGCAUGUGGUUCAAUUCGAAGCAACGCGCAGAACCUUACCUACCCUUGACAUGUCCAGUAUGGGCGCCAGAGAUGGAGCUCUUCAGUUCGGCUGGCUGGAACACAGGUGCUGCAUGGCUGUCGUCAGCUCGUGUCGUGAGACGUUGGGUUAAGUCCCGCAACGAGCGCAACCCUCGCUUCUAGUUGCCAUCAUUCAGUUGGGCACUCUAGAGGGACUGCCGGUGAUAAGCCGGAGGAAGGUGGGGAUGACGUGUCUAGGAGGGUG